GACGAACGCUGGCGGCGUGCUUAACACAUGCAAGUCGAACGGAAAGGCCUUUUCGGAGGUACUCGAGUGGCGAACGGGUGAGUAACACGUGGGUGAUCUGCCCUGCACUCUGGGAUAAGCCUGGGAAACUGGGUCUAAUACCGGAUAGGACCGCACUUUAGUGUGUGUGGUGGAAAGUUUUUUCGGUGUAGGAUGAGCCCGCGGCCUAUCAGCUUGUUGGUGGGGUAAUGGCCUACCAAGGCGGCGACGGGUAGCCGGACUGAGAGGUUGGUCGGCCACAUUGGGACUGAGAUACGGCCCAGACUCCUACGGGAGGCAGCAGUGGGGAAUAUUGCACAAUGGGCGCAAGCCUGAUGCAGCGACGCCGCGUGGGGGAGGACGGCCUUCGGGUUGUAAACUCCUUUCGCCAGGGACGAAGCGUUUUGUGACGGUACUUGGAGAAGAAGCACCGGCUAACUACGUG
rnacentral:rRNA from 1 species